rnacentral:lncRNA from 1 species
GAUCAAUAAUGUUGCCAAAGACAAAGCUGUCAGAGUUUUCAGUGUCUGGUGUUGAUGGACAUCUCAGAGCAGGUGCAUUAUACUUCUCUUCCGAUAUAACUUUUUCGACUUCUUUGCUUUCAUCUAUAGUAUUCAUAAAAUCUGGUAAUGGUCCGUCGGAUGUAUCAGAAAUGGUAAUUUCAGGCAAUUUUUCAUUCUCGCCCAGAAUCUGAAUUUCAGACAACACUCGGUUAGUAGAAACGUUGCUAUGGUUGUCUACAUGAAGCUGUUUUUGUUGAUUUAAGCAUUGGCAUUCUAUAG